rnacentral:misc_RNA from 1 species
GCAACAUAAAUUCAUAGGCACAAUCAUGUACAGAGAAUGGAAGCAAAUUCAGCAUGUAUUUAUACAUUGACAAAGGAAAGGGGGUACAAACAACUCCAAAUUCUGGAUAUCUAGCAUAGUCAAAGUAUUACACUACUAUCAUAUCUAAUAACUCCUAAAGUUUAAAAGCCCACACCCAAACGUAAAUGCUAUUUCAUCUUUCUAAGAAAACACACACCAAGCCACCAACAAAAACCCACUACAUAGGGAAGCUGAAACAGCUAUAUUAGCUAUAUAGAAGAAACCCCACCUAUAAACCCUAAUCGUUCUGAGUAAUAUAAACCUAGAAGAACUGUCAUGUUGCUUCACUUCAGCCAGUUCAUCUGCUCGCAAACUCAAACAUCUUCCUGUUGAAAAAAUAAAGGGAGAUGCCGAGGUAAAACCGAACAAUCACCAUCGAAAGUAAGAACAUACUAAAUUCUGAAGUAACCAACCGAAUCAAUUCCCAAUCGUCUGUCCCAAAUCAUUUCAGGUUCGCUCACUUCUUUGAUUCGACUUGAUCAGCCUAGAUCAAGUCGAAGCAACCGCCUCAGAUCGCUUGUUGCAGUGCCGUUCUUACCUAGAAAAGACGGCAAGGGCACCGAACUCGGAGGCGGCGAAGCGAAGAACGCACCCGAUCCCGCAUAGAUACCAUCAACAACCUUGAACUCCGUUAACACAAUCUGCUUCUGCAUCAAAUCAGGGUCUGGACCCAACCGAUCAGUGGAUCCCAAAACCAUAUCCACAUCCUCACCCUUCGACUCCAAUCUCCUUUUACCACAAGAAUCAUCACCAUCACCAACUCCUGGAUCGGGAGUCAACGUCUCUCCACGCCUUAGGAUCUUAACCUGUCCCAUAAUCAAAUUCUUCGACGAAAUUUUCGUGUUCUGGCUUUUGUGAGUUUGAAUACAUGGCUACCGUGAUUCUUCCGCCGCAGGACUGUCUUGGGAAAGGCCUUCGCCACCAAGGUCUAGUUCUAUCGCCUCCGUUAAAAUCACGGCGAAAUUCUAACCCUAAUAGUAUUAGUUCUUCCACA